AUCGAACGCUGGCGGCAGGCCUAACACAUGCAAGUCGAGCGAGCGGCGGACGGGUGCGUACUGUCUGGGAAACUGCCUGUAGCCUAGGGAUCACUACUGGAAACGGUAGCUAAUACCGCAUACCAUCAGCUGUGCCCAGAGGGGAUUAGCUAGUGGGUGGGGUAACGGCGCACCUAGGCGACGAUCCCUAGCUGGUCUGAGAGGAUGACCAGCCACACUGGAACUGAGACACGGUCCAGACUCCUACGGGAGGCAGCAGUGGGGAAUAUUGGACAAUGGGCGCAAGCCUGAUGGAGCCAUGCCGCGUGUGUGAAGAAGGCUUUCGGGUUGUAAAGCACUUUCAGCGGGGAGGCGUUACCCGCAGAAAAAGCAACGGCUAACUCCGUGCCAGCAGCCGCGGUAAUUC
rnacentral:rRNA from 1 species